UACGGAGGGUGCGAGCGUUGUCCGGAAUCACUGGGCGUAAAGGGCGCGUAGGUGGCGCGGGCAGUCAACGGUGAAAGUUCGGGGCUCAACCCUGAAUCGGCCGUCGAUACUCCCGUGCUUGAGCACUGUAGAGGCAGAUGGAAUUCCGGGUGUAGCGGUGGAAUGCGUAGAGAUCCGGAAGAACACCGGUGGCGAAGGCGGUCUGCUGGGCAGUAGCUGACACUGAGGCGCGACAGCGUGGGGAGCAAACAGGG
rnacentral:rRNA from 1 species